rnacentral:misc_RNA from 1 species
AACGCACAUUGCGCCCCCUGGUAUUCCGGGGGGCAUGCCUGUCCGAGCGUCAUUGCUGCCCUCAAGCCCGGCUUGUGUGUUGGGUCCUCGUCCUCCCCUCGCGGGGGGACGGGCCCGAAAGGCAGCGGUGGCACCGCGUCCGGUCCUCGAGCGUAUGGGGCUUUGUCACCCGCUCUGUAGGCCCGGCCGGCGCCAGCCGACGCAAAUCACCUUUUUUUCCAGGUUGACCUCGGAUCAGGUAGGGAUACCCGCUGAACUUAA